AUAUAUCCUUGGGCUCCAAGUUUUUGCGAAAGUUUCGUAUCAACAGGUCACGUGGCAAACACAGAGGAUUUCGUAUCGGGAAGAGGUCGGGGCUCGCAUACGUCCCCGACCAUCGAUCGAGUCGAGUCGUGUCGUUUGCGUGAUAAACGUGUUUCUGGCUUGUAGUAUCGGAAAUAUUCACUACGCAAUUUGUAAACGCGUAAUUAGUGGCGUGUCGGGACAACGAGCGCGUGGGACAGUGGUGCAGUGGUUCACUGGUGCGAACAUCAACGCCGUUUAAGGUAAGAAAUCGCCGAAAAACUCGUAAACGAGACAAAUUGGGUACAAAUGAUUGCUUAUUAACAGUUUCGCGAAAUAACUUCGUCAAACUCUCAC